rnacentral:rRNA from 1 species
UACGUAGGGUGCGAGCGUUAAUCGGAAUUACUGGGCGUAAAGCGUGCGCAGGCGGUUUGUAAGUCUGUCGUGAAAUCCCCGGGCUCAACCUGGGAAUUGCGAUGGAGACUGCAAGGCUAGAAUCUGGCAGAGGGGGUAGAAUUCCACGUGUAGCAGUGAAUGCGUAGAGAUGUGGAGGAACACCGAUGGCGAAGGCAGCCCCCUGGGUCAAGAUUGACGCUCAUGCACGAAAG